rnacentral:rRNA from 1 species
CCUACGGGUGGCAGCAGUGAGGAAUAUUGGUCAAUGGGCGGGAGCCUGAACCAGCCAAGUCGCGUGAGGGAAGACGGUCCUACGGAUUGUAAACCUCUUUUGCCGGGGAGCAACGGGGUCCUUGCGAGGGCCCGAUGAGAGUACCCGGAGAAAAAGCAUCGGCUAACUACGUGCCAGCAGCCGCGGUAAUACGUAGGGGGCAAGCGUUAUCCGGAUUUACUGGGUGUAAAGGGAGCGUAGACGGCAGCGCAAGUCUGGAGUGAAAUCCCAUGGCUUAACCAUGGAACUGCUUUGGAAACUGUGCAGCUGGAGUGCAGGAGAGGUAAGCGGAAUUCCUAGUGUAGCGGUGAAAUGCGUAGAUAUUAGGAGGAACACCAGUGGCGAAGGCGGCUUACUGGACUGUAACUGACGUUGAGGCUCGAAAGCGUGGGGAGCAAACAGGAUUAGAUACUCUGGUAGUC